rnacentral:rRNA from 1 species
AACGUAGGUUCCGAGCGUUAUCCGGAUUUACUGGGCGUAAAGCGCGUUCAGGCGGUUUGGCAAGUCGGGCAUGAAAUCUCUCGGCUCAACCGGGAGAGGUUGUCCGAUACUUCCAGACUUGAGGGCAGUAGAGGGUGGUGGAAUUCCGGGUGUAGUGGUGAAAUGCGUAGAUAUCCGGAGGAACACCAGUGGCGAAAGCGGCCACCCGGACUGCACCUGACGCUGACACGCGAAAGCUAGGGGAGCGAACGGG